rnacentral:rRNA from 1 species
GAUGAACGCUAGCCGGCAGGCUUAACACAUGCAAGUCCGAGGGGGCACACGGGUGCCUCGCACUUCGGUGACGACCGGCGAGACGGGUGCGUAACGCGUAUAGAAUUCUGCCUCAUAACAGGAGGAUAGCCUCUUAGAAAUGAAGAAUAAUACUCCACGGUUCUUAUGCUGCGGCAUUCGUGAUAUAAGUAAAGUUCUAUCGGUAUGAGAUGACUAUGCGUCCUAUUAGUUAGUUGGUGAGGUAACGGCUCACCAAGACAGCGAUAGGUAGGGGGUCUGAAAGGAUUAUCCCCCACACUGGUACUGAGACACGGACCAGACUCCUACGGGAGGCAGCAGUGAGGAAUAUUGGACAAUGGGCGAGAGCCUGAUUCCAGCCAUGCCGCGUGCAGGAAGACUGCCCUAUGGGUUUGUAAACUGCUUUUAUACAGGAAGAAACAAGCUUACGUGUAAGCACUUGACGGUACUGUAUGAAUAAGCACCGGCUAACUCCGUGCCAGCAGCCGCGGUAAUACGGAGGGUGCAAGCGUUAUCCGGAAUCAUUGGGUUUAAAGGGUCCGCAGGCGGUCAAUUAAGUCAGGGGUGAAAUCUCACAGCUUAACUGUGAAACUGCCUUUGAUACUGGUUGACUUGAGUUAUAUGGAAGUAGAUAGAAUAAGUAGUGUAGCGGUGAAAUGCAUAGAUAUUACUUAGAAUACCGAUUGCGAAGGCAGUCUACUACGUAUUGACUGACGCUCAUGGACGAAAGCGUGGGGAGCGAACAGGAUUAGAUACCCUGGUAGUCCACGCCGUAAACGAUGGACACUAGUUGUUGGGUGUAAAUUCAGUGACUAAGCGAAAGUGAUAAGUGUCCCACCUGGGGAGUACGUUCGCAAGAAUGAAACUCAAAGGAAUUGACGGGGGCCCGCACAAGCGGUGGAGCAUGUGGUUUAAUUCGAUGAUACGCGAGGAACCUUACCAGGGCUUAAAUGUAGAGUGACAGGUCUAGAGAUAGAUUUUUCUUCGGACACUUUACAAGGUGCUGCAUGGUUGUCGUCAGCUCGUGCCGUGAGGUGUCAGGUUAAGUCCUAUAACGAGCGCAACCCCUAUCGUUAGUUGCUAACAGGUUAAGCUGAGGACUCUAGCGAGACUGCCGGUGCAAACCGUGAGGAAGGUGGGGAUGACGUCAAAUCAUCACGGCCCUUACGUCCUGGGCUACACACGUGCUACAAUGGUAUGGACAAUGAGCAGCCACUUCGUGAGAAGGAGCGAAUCUAUAAACCAUAUCACAGUUCGGAUCGAAGUCUGCAACUCGACUUCGUGAAGCUGGAAUCGCUAGUAAUCGGAUAUCAGCCAUGAUCCGGUGAAUACGUUCCCGGGCCU